rnacentral:rRNA from 1 species
CCAGACUCCUACGGGAGGCAGCAGUGGGGAAUAUUGCACAAUGGGGGGAACCCUGAUGCAGCGACGCCGCGUGGGCGAGGAAGUAUUUCGGUAUGUAAAGCCCUAUCGGCAGGGAAGAAGAAAUGACGGUACCUGAAUAAGAAGCACCGGCUAAAUACGUGCCAGCAGCCGCGGUAAUACGUAUGGUGCAAGCGUUAUCCGGAUUUACUGGGUGUAAAGGGAGCGUAGACGGCGGCGCAAGUCCGGAGUGAAAGCCCACGGCCCAACCCCGGGACUGCCCUUGGAACUGCAUGGCUGGAGUGCAGGAGAGGUAAGUGGAAUUCCUAGUGUAGCGGUGAGAUGCGUAGAUAUUAGGAGGAACACCAGUGGCGAAGGCGGCUUACUGGACUGUAACUGACGUUGAGGCUCGAAAGCGUGGGGAGCAAACAGGAUUAGAUACCCCGGUAGGA